AUUGAACGCUGCCGGCAUGCUUUACACAUGCAAGUCGAACGGUAACAGGCCGCAAGGUGCUGACGAGUGGCGAACGGGUGAGUAAUGCAUCGGAACGUGCCCAGUCGUGGGGGAUAACGCAGCGAAAGCUGUGCUAAUACCGCAUACGAUCUAUGGAUGAAAGCGGGGGACCGUAAGGCCUCGCGCGAUUGGAGCGGCCGAUGUCAGAUUAGGUAGUUGGUGGGGUAAAGGCUCACCAAGCCAACGAUCUGUAGCUGGUCUGAGAGGACGACCAGCCACACUGGGACUGAGACACGGCCCAGACUCCUACGGGAGGCAGCAGUGGGGAAUUCUGGACAAUGGGCGCAAGCCUGAUCCAGCAAUGCCGCGUGCAGGAAGAAGGCCUUCGGGUUGUAAACUGCUUUUGUACGGAACGAAAAGGUUUGGGUUAAUACCCUGGGCCGAUGACGGUACCGUAAGAAUAAGCACCGGCUAACUACGUGCCAGCCGCCGCAGUAA
rnacentral:rRNA from 1 species